GAAUGCCCACAAAAGAAGGCCAUCCCCCGGUUCAACCCGAUGCCUUCAAUCAUGGAACAAGAGAUACCGAUGAGGAGCGCCAUUGCCAUGAACUCGCACACCGCCAUCUUUGUCGAAGAAAAUUAAGAAAAAAGAAAAAGAAAUAAAGCUGGGAAAAAGAAAAGAAUUCUGCUGUAGUGCUGCAAAGUUCUUUUGGGUCUUUAUCAAGAAUAAUUUUUUUUUAAUCUUUUUAGUGCUAAUAUUUUUUUGUCUUCCUUCGUUGCCUCCCAACCGUGUUUUUUAUAUUUGUCGGGUAGUCCUUGAGAGUUCUACCCUAUCCCUUCAUUGUUGCUCCUAGCAUUCAUGACUUAAUGAGUGCUCCUUUCGGAAAUUAAAAAAAUCCUACCAGUAGACCAUCAAUUAGAUCGGUGACUUCGGGCUCGGCAACCUCCACAAGUACAAGCCAACCCAAGCACCACCCGCAUGAUGGGCACCCUGGGUACCUCGCCCUCGAGCUCACCUAGACAAGCAAGACCACCACUAGUUGCGACGGGUUCACCUUCGGCACCCUCGCCCUUGAGGUGGUCUGCGGCCAUUGCCCUGUUGAGCCCAAGGCACUAUUGGAGGAGCUCAUGCUGGUGGAUUGGGUGUGGGAGCCGUGGAGCUUUGGACGAUGGGUGGUGGACCUGUGGCUGGAGCACAGGAGAAGUGGAAAAGAGAGCUUCUGACCUCUUGAACGUGUAUCCAUGCAGCUUCAAACAGCAACACUCAAACAAACAUGAAAAUGAAUCUUUCAUCUAAGACUUGUUCAACCUAGUCAAGGGUCCUUAAUAAUUUUGACAUGGUGACGCGGUGGUGUUUGUGGUAUCCUUGUGGCUGCUUUCUGAAUUCCAUGUCAUGCGACUUGGUCAUGCAUCAUAUAUCUAUAUGAAGUAUGGCAAUUGUAAUUAUGUGAAUAGCCAUAUGAUAAAGUGCAGAAUAUAAAUACUUAAUAUGUAUCUUUCAAAGUGUUGUUGCAUUGAACUGCUGAAAUAAAAAUUUCUUAAUUAAUCA